rnacentral:rRNA from 1 species
GAGCGAACGCUGGCGGCAGGCCUACCACAUGCAAGUCGAACGGAUCCUUCGGGAUUAGUGGCGGACGGGUGAGUAACACGUGGGAACGUGCCCUUUGGUUCGGAACAACUCAGGGAAACUUGAGCUAAUACCGGAUGUGCCCUUCGGGGGAAAGAUUUAUCGCCAUUGGAGCGGCCCGCGUCUGAUUAGCUAGUUGGUGAGGUAACGGCCCACCAAGGCGACGAUCAGUAGCUGGUCUGAGAGGAUGAUCAGCCACACUGGGACUGAGACACGGCCCAGACUCCUACGGGAGGCAGCAGUGGGGAAUCUUGCGCAAUGGGCGAAAGCCUGACGCAGCCAUGCCGCGUGAAUGAUGAAGGUCUUAGGAUUGUAAAAUUCUUUCAGCGGGGACGAUAAUGACGGUACCCGCAGAAGAAGCUCCGGCUAACUUCGUG